rnacentral:rRNA from 1 species
AUUGAACGCUGGCGGCAGGCUUAACACAUGCAAGUCGAGCGGGGGAGGUUGCUUCGGUAACUGACCUAGCGGCGGACGGGUGAGUAAUGCUUAGGAAUCUGCCUAUUAGUGGGGGACAACAUUCCGAAAGGAAUGCUAAUACCGCAUACGCCCUACGGGGGAAAGAAGGGGAUCUUCGGACCUUGCGCUAACAGAUGAGCCUAAGUCGGAUUAGCUAGUUGGUGGGGUCAAGGCCUACCAAGGCGACGAUCUGUAGCGGGUCUGAGAGGAUGAUCCGCCACACUGGGACUGAGACACGGCCCAGACGCCUACGGGAGGUAGCAGUGGGGAAUAUUGGACAAGGGGCGGAAGCCUGAUCCAGCCAUGCCGCGUGUGUGAAGAAGGCCUUUUGGUUGUAAAGCACUUUAAGCGAGGAGGAGGCUCUUAAGGUUAAUACCCUUGAUGAGUGGACGUUACUCGCAGAAUAAGCACCGGCUAACUCUGUGCCAGCAGCCGCGGUAAAAC